UACGUAGGAGGCAAGCGUUGUCCGGAAUUACUGGGCGUAAAGCGCGUGUAGGCGGCAGGCCAAGUCUGUGGUGAAAUCGCUCGGCUCAACUGGGCGGGGUCCAUGGAAACUGGUCAGCUGGAGGACGGUAGAGGUGAGUGGAAUUCCCGGUGUAGUGGUGAAAUGCGUAGAGAUCGGGAGGAACACCCGUGGCGAAGGCGGCUCACUGGGCCGGUCCUGACGCUGAGGCGCGAAGGCGUGGGGAGCGAACGGG
rnacentral:rRNA from 1 species